GUAUGGUAAAGCAUUCUACAGAAUAAAUAUAGUCUUAUAGCUUGCACUAUUGUUCCUAAUCUAUUGGCAAUAAACUGCUUCUGUAUCUUGCCUUCUCCUUUAAUGCAGUGCUGUCUGAGGGCCUAAGGAUGACGGGAAUCUAGUAUUGACAACCUUGUCCCUUGUGUACAGAGAUUUCUCCAGAUUCUUUGAAUAUUUCAAUGAUGGUAUAUACCAGGGGUGUCCAAACUUUUUACAACGGGGGCCAGAUUUGGUGAGAUGAAAAUGUGUGGGGGCCGACCAAUCAGCCUGACAUUGUUUGAUUCGAACCAUUAAGUAUAUAUUCAUGAAGCUGCUGGAUCCAGGCAAAAUUAAAUGUGAAGCCAUUAUGGUAUGUUAGUGCCCUACUGCACUGAUCUUCUUCUGUCCCCAUAGACAGCCCUUACCCACCCCCACAUCCAGCCUCUGUAGUCUAUAAUAACUUUUAUUUCAAUUGUUUAUUCUUUCUCAGUUAGACACUCACCUGUAACUCCCCCUCCCUCUCAGAAACAGGCAUGAAAAAAAAGCUUAAAACUCUGUCUCCUCCUUUGCACACAAGCACUCCCUCUGGAGCUCCCCCUCCCUGCCAGAAACUAAAGGUGGACUCCAACUGUAACUUACUUCCCUCCUGCCACAUGUGAUCGCUGAUAAGCAGGAUCAAGCUGCAGCACAUUCAACACUCGCGUCUCUCAGUGAUCCCAUAGAAAUGAAUGUGCGGCAGCAGGAAAUAAUAAGAAUGGGAGCUGAAGAAGCCACGCGUCGAGGAUGAAAGAGCCAAUUCUUUGCUGAUUACCAGCUACAGCUUCCACGUGGAACUUGGGAACAGAUAUUUUUGCAGGGUUAUGUUGGCAACAUUAAACAACACAACAAAGCAUGUGGCUCUUACAAUCUAUGAGAAGCUAGGCAGCAAUAAACAUCUUAUUAAGAAAGAAGCUCAGACACCCAGGAUCAAUGGCGCGUUUCCCUUUCUUUGCAAGGGGCUUGUGGCAUUCCAAACACAGCUUCUAUUCAGCGGAGCUGGUUAUAGGCCUCCAGUUCGUUCACUCAAGGGGGAUUGGGCAUCGUGAUUUAAAACCUGGCAAUAUUUUAAUAACCAACGAUGGCCACAUGAAAAUCACGGAUUUUGGACUGAUAGCAGACAACGUUGACGAGGGAAAGAAGAUGGUGCAGAUAUGUGGAGCCGUACCGUGCAGGGCUCCAGAGAUUCAGUUCUAAUACUGUUAGUAACAGGAAUAGUGAGACUUACAGACCUACCUCUGAGAGCCACCAAAGCAACUUACAGCCACAGGGGUGUAUGCAGAAGGCAUAUGUUGGGAGGUUGCUUAAAGGUUUUAUUAUGAUUGGCCUUGCAGUGUAUAUGGUAUAUAUUUUAUUGCUAUUAUGUUUAUUAUAGCAAGUAUACUAAUUAUAGGGUUACAAGUAUGGCCAAAAGUCUUCAAUCAUCUUAAGCUGUCCAUUAAAAGUUAGAAAAUGAAAAUAAAUCCUGUUUGGUUGCUACUGGCACCUG